UCAGGCCAAAAUGAUAAGCACUCGAAACUUCUGGCUCGAGAUUUUCAGGGUGAAUGAGAAGGGCGAUUGUACCGCACCAUUCUCAUUGAAAGAAUGUAAAAUGGAAUGGGCGAUUAGUCUGCACCACUCAAGUAGCAAGAACAUUGAAAUACGCAGAGCAGGGUGGGCGAUUAUACCGCUCCACCUGAAAUUUGCAGUAAAAGUAGAUCUGCAGUCCAAGAUAGGCGAUGAUACCGCACCAUCUUGGAUCGCAGUAAGAUGAAAUUUGCAGUUCAAGAUGGGCGAUUUUACCGCACCAUCUUGGAUUGCAGUAAAAUCAAUAUAAAUACUAUGUUAGUAAUCAAUAUCCAAACCAAACAAGUAAUCAAAGAUGUAUGUAACCGCUAGUUGGAGAACUACGAACAGGCAUGGAGCAAAUAGUUCGUUGUGAGGAUAUACCGCGCAGUUGAGGCAGAUGAAGAAGAUGAACAGGAAAAACCUUAGAGGAAACAUUUUUUUUUUGUUCGGCGGAGAGAAAUGAGAGAAUGAUUUCCUUUAUUGUUUAGUGAAUGUAAAUGAGACAUGGUUAUACUUAGAGACUCGUGCUGAUAACGUGUUAUAAAAAUGUAAAAGUUAUAGAGAGAUAACCUUUAUUUGGGACAGGAAUGAAGCAGUUGCAGAGUAUUAUACCAACACAAGCUGUUGCAGAGGAAGUAAUGUAUAUUAUUGCUAUUAGAUAUUUUUCUUUUCCUUUUUCUCUCUCUGCUUUGUUAAACAUUCGUAAAGCUCUAUUUAUAGAGCAUCGCCAUGGAAACAAACAAAAACACUGUUAAACAUAUGACAUGUUUACAGUAUGCAUGUGGGCAUACAUAUUAUACUAUUUACAACACUGACCAUUUAUUUAUUUAUUUUCUACAACAAUCUAGUGCAUUACAUUAAAUCAUGACUACAUUGUUAUUCAGGAUAAAUUAUUCUCCUUAUAUAUAAUAGUAAAACAUCUCUACUAAUUUACCUAUAUAAAUAGUAUUGCCCGAUAGUUGGUUAUUUACCUACAGUUUAUACACAUUCUCAUAUUUCUUUUGGCAAUUUACCUAUGAUAUAUGCAAAUAAUAUUUUCAUAUUUCGUUGGUAUUUUACCUAUAAUGCAAGUAGGUAAAUUGUGUACGUGAUACCAAUUUACCUACAUUUUUUAUGUGAACCAAAUAUUCUACACUGUAUAUGUAAAUAAUUUACCUAUAGUUGGCUUUUUUUUCUUUUUCUUUAUCCUAAAAUUAAUUUACUUGCAACUUUAUCUCCAUUAAUUUAUAUACUUUUACUUUGACAACAAUUUUUUUUAUAUAUUUUUAAAUUACAAUAAUUCACCUAUAUAUAAUAUGGAUGUUGUGGUCUAUUUUAUCUGACAGAGGGACUAGGGCCGGCGACAGAGAGAGAGAGGAGAGAGAUGUGUGUUUGUAAAAUUGUAGGGGAAUGUGUGUGUUGUUAUCUCUCCUACAUUGUGCCUU
rnacentral:lncRNA from 1 species